UAUUGCGCAAUGGGUGGCAACCCUGACGCAGCAAUGCCGCGUGAGUGAAGAAGGCCUUCGGGUCGUAAAGCUCUUUUAUGGGGGAAGAUGAUGACGGUACCCCAUGAAUAAGCACCGGCUAACUACGUGCCAGCAGCCGCGGUAAUACGUAGGGUGCGAGCGUUGUUCGGAAUUACUGGGCGUAAAGGGCGUGCAGGCGGAUUGGCAAGCCGGAGGUGAAAGCCCGGGGCUCAACCCCGGAGGGUCUUUCGGAACUGCCAGUCUUGAGAGGGUCAGGGGCCAGCGGAAUUCCUGGUGUAGAGGUGAAAUUCGUAGAGAUCAGGAGGAACACCGGCGGCGAAAGCGGCUGGCUGGGGCCACUCUGACGCUGAGGCGCGAAAGCGUGGGGAGCAAACAGGAUUAGAUACCCUGGUAGUCCACGCCGUAAACGAUGGGCACUAAGCGUCCGACGGGUUCGACCCUGUUGGGUGCUGCAGUUAACGCGUUAAGUGCCCCGCCUGGGGAGUACGGUCGCAAGACUA
rnacentral:rRNA from 1 species